AAUUUGGCAACAAUUUGUUAUCAAAUUGCUUACUGGGUAAUUGUACGAUUCUGUAACAAAUCGCCACGAUACACUAGGUGCACGAUACAUUAAGUGUGCUAUAUUCAUUUUAAUAAUAAUAUGUACAGUUUCUCAUUGUAUAAAAAACUAUAGUUUUGAUUAUGUAAAUAAAAUAACAAUAAACUCAUUAGUGAUGUAUGAUAUAUCAUAAGUCAUCUUAAAAAAAUCUUACUUUUUUUAUAUGUAUUCUGCGCGAAUCUGUGAUAAAUAUAUAUAGGAUAUAUGUAAAAUAUAUGUAUAGUUCAAUAAUUAAGGAUAUAUUUCAUAUUGAAAAAAAAACGCGAUUUUUGAUAAAUUAAAUUAAUUACAAAAUUAGAGGUACGCAGUAUGGAACAAUUAUGUUUCUUACAAUGACAUAGGAAAAUUUAUACAAUUUAUAUUAAGUGACUUAGAAGUAUCCCUGGAAAAAACUAAUAUUUAAAAUAUGAUCAGUGCUUCUUCGUGUUCUUCAACAAUUUCUAUUAUUUACAUUUACUUGAAUACCAUAAGACAAAUGGAAUAAGUAGAGAAGGUAGAGUCAUUACAGCGAAUGCAGCCCAAUUAACCCGUGAGACACAACAGAAUAUGAUUACAUUGAGACAAUGACAUUUUAAUUGUAGAAUACAUGAAUGGGUGGAUGAAUCUAUUUACUUUAGAUUACAUAAAACUCUUACAUAUGCAGUAUAAUUAUUGCAAGUUUGUUACAAAGAAAACAAUACAAUUGUGUAUGUAUGUUGUGACGGGCGUUCUAUUAAUGUGGAAAUAAUUUAUAAUAAUUUUACGUAGAAUUAAACAUCAAAUUAAACAUCGUACAAUUAAAAAUCAAAGUUCACAAAAUGAUGAAAAAUUAAGUAUAAAAAUAUACACAAGAGCCAUAGGAUAUAUAAUUUGUAUCUAUAUAUAAGUAUAUAUAUUGCACUAUAUAAAUUGUUUGCUUUCUUACUUCCUACUAAAUUUUCAAAAUAACUGCGAGGCUAUUCCUCCACAGGAUUCUAUAAUCCUUCAUUAUGAAUAGUAUCUGUAGAAUAGUUGCAAUUGUACUUAUAUGAGAUGAAAACUGUUUGCCAUAGUUUCUGUAUACCACAAUGAGUCCUUUACCAGAUUUGUUGCUUACAGCCACUUUUGUAAUCUAGGAGCCUCUUGAAAGCGAUGGUACAAAACUUCAGCGAAGCGUUUAAUUCGUCUCUCACAUGAGUAAAAUGGUCUGCAAUGGAAUGAAUUGUCUGUGAUCUUAACUUCAAAUGCAGCCACAUUGCCAGUAUUACAAAUAGUAUAUUGUAAACUUCAUUUUUUUUAAUAAAAAGAUAUGUUUGUGUGAUAUUUUAUUAAA